AUCCUUUUGUAGUUUGCAAGCAUGAUGAUUAGUUUUUCAUGCGCACGCGUGAGAUGUGCCUCCCACAGAUCUUGUUACGUCGGCACAUUACCUGUCUGACA